UACAGAGGUCCCAAGCGUUGUCCGGAUUUACUGGGCGUAAAGAGCGCGCAGGCGGUCGUUUAAGUCGAGUGUGAAAGCCCCCGGCUCAACUGGGGAGGGUCACUCGAUACUGAUCGACUUGAAGGCAGGAGAGGGAAGCGGAAUUCCCGGUGUAGUGGUGAAAUGCGUAGAUAUCGGGAGGAACACCAGUGGCGAAGGCGGCUUCCUGGCCUGUUCUUGACGCUGAGGCGCGAAAGCUAGGGGAGCAAACGGG
rnacentral:rRNA from 1 species